rnacentral:rRNA from 1 species
UGGGUAACCUGCCUCAAAGAGGGGAAUAGCCUCCCGAAAGGGGAGAUUAAUACCGCAUAAUAUGUUUAAGUCGCAUGACUUUAACAUCAAAGGAUUUUCUUUUAGAACUUCCACUUUGAGAUGGACCCGCGGCGCAUUAGCUAGUUGGUGAGGUAACGGCUCACCAAGGCAACGNUGCGUAGCCGACCUGAGAGGGUGAUCCGGCCACAUUGGAACUGAGACACGGUCCAGACUCCGUAGGAG